GACGAACGCUGGCGGCGUGCUUAACACAUGCAAGUCGAACGGAAAGGCCCUGCUUUUGUGGGGUGCUCGAGUGGCGAACGGGUGAGUAACACGUGAGUAACCUGCCCCUGACUUUGGGAUAACUUCAGGAAACUGGGGCUAAUACCGGAUAGGAGCUCCUGCUGCAUGGUGGGGGUUGGAAAGUUUCGGCGGUUGGGGAUGGACUCGCGGCUUAUCAGCUUGUUGGUGGGGUAGUGGCUUACCAAGGCUUUGACGGGUAGCCGGGCUGAGAGGGUGACCGGACACAUUGGGAUUGAGAUACGGCACAGACUCCUACGGGAGGCAGCAGUGGGGAAUAUUGCACAAUGGGCGGAAGCCUGAUGCAGCAACGCCGCGUGCGGGAUGACGGCCUUCGGGUUGUAAUCCGCUUUCGCCUGUGACGAAGCGUGAGUGACGGUAAUGGGUAAAGAAGCACCGGCUAACUACGUG
rnacentral:rRNA from 1 species